rnacentral:rRNA from 1 species
UACGUAGGGGGCAAGCGUUGUCCGGAUUUAUUGGGCGUAAAGAGCGUGUAGGCGGCCAGGUAGGUCUGCUGUGAAAACUCGAGGCUUAACCUCGAGCUGUCGGCGGAAACCAUCUGGCUAGAGUCCGGAAGAGGAGAAUGGAAUUCCCGGUGUAGCGGUGAAAUGCGCAGAUAUCGGGAAGAACACCCGUGGCGAAGGCGGUUACCUGGAGCUUUGCUGACGCUGAUGCGCGAAAGCGUGGGGAGCGAUCCGG